GCACGUUGUAAUGUAGAUUUCUUUUCUGUCAGUUAUGCGCAUAAUGCAUGUUUGUCAGCCAUUGGUGAAAACUGAAAAACAUUCUGUUCAAAACCUUUAGAGACAGUGUUAUUUCGUUUGGUAACAUUUUUUUGUUUCACUUUUAAUAUGAAUUUUGAACCCGCAGAUUUUACGAAAGAUGUGUCAUUGCCUAGUAGAAGUACGAAUCUCCAACCGCGAGGUAACCAGUAUCAAAGCCCUUUACUCCAAAACAACAAACCAAACAACUUUAAUAAAAAUUUUUCUUCCAAGACGAACAACAAACCAAACUCACACUUCAAUGGUGCAAUUCAUAAUAGACUAGGGAACAGAAAUUCUUAUGCAAAUAAUAAUAUGGACAAUGCCAUGUCAAAUAAUGAUAGAAAUUUCAACAGGAAGAGGAAAAAUCCAGAUGGGACGCCAGGUCCUAUGCGAAAAUGGAACAGAAAUAAAUUUUAUAAUAAUUCAAAUAAUAAUAAUCAGCACAACAAUUCAGCGCAAAAUCGUUUGAAUCGCAUUAGGAGCAGCAAUCAGUAUUUGAAUUUGAUUCCAAAGGUAGAGACAGAAAAUUCAUAUGAUCAGCCUGACGUCAGUAAUAUUAAUGAUUCACAAGAGUUUGAUGCACCAGACAUUACUGUAGAAGUGAUAAAUCACGCUGCUCAGCCCAAGGAAGAAUUGAGUCCUGUUCGUUUUAAAAUGUUGUUGGACCCAAAAACUCAGGCUGCGAUAAAAGUUAUUCAACAAAAACGAAAAGAUAAACAGGUUAUUUUUCCUUUUCCUGUCACUCCUAACACGACUGGAAUUUCAUUGCAUGAACGCUUUACAGUCCUGUAAUUUGUUUUGUAUUAAAAACUCUUUCACCUGUAAGUAUAGACUUCGUAUUUUAGAGGUACAUUUUUGUAAUAUGUAGCGCUUAAAAACGACGCUGGACAAUUAUUAUUCUUAACUUUGAAAAGUGUUUUAGUUAUGACUGCUUUUAAUUAUUUUUGUUUGUUUAAUAAAUAGAGAAUAAUUAUUGUUUUUCUUGAAAUAUUCAUUUUUAUAAAAUGUGUGAUUGGGUAUUGUUUCCACAUUAGUUGGAGAAAAAGCAGAUUUUAUUACCAGAAUGUGUGACACAAACUAAUUUUGUUAGAACCUAUGUGUUAAUAGUUUAAAAAAAAAUCAAUGGAUUAUCUUAAAAAAGUCUUAUGCGUUUGCCAUAGUGUCACCAUGACGUGUAUUUCUGAUAAUCUAAUGUGUUUUUAUAUUUAAAGUGUCUUUGGUCACUCAUGUUCGAUAUUAUAUAUUUUUAGAUUACCUUUGUUCUGUUAAAAUUAAUAAAAUUUUACAUAAAAUUAGUCACAUUCUGUUUAAUUAUCCGCAACUGAAACACAUGAAAAUAGUAUUGGAAGGCUUUGUGAUAAUAUAAUAUUUUUAUACAGGCUGUUUACUAACCAUGCGACAAAAAAUCAGGGAGUUAUUUCUUGGAUCAUCACAAGAUUUUUUUGCCUUUAGAUGAUUUAAGCUUUUCGAAAAUAAAAUUAUUAAUUCAUAUUACUUGUAAAUAAUAAUAAUUAUAAAAAAUGCUGAAAAUGAUUCCCACCAGCUACAAUCUUCGCCUCAUUAACUGCAAAACUUUUUCGAUAAUAUCAGAAUUAUUUCUAUACAGUAAUGUUUCAAAUGGCCACAUAAAUAAAAAUCCAAAGGAGCUAAGUCUGGAUAACGAGCAGUUUUACUUUACUUUUUUCCCCCGUAUCUUUGAAACAAAACGUCUUUUAGAAAAUCACUAAAAUACAAAAAAAUUUUAAAAUAACCCUAGGAAUAACCUCCUGAAUUGUUGCCGUAGGUUUUGUAAACACCUAUGUAUCACUACGUUGUUUUCACUAAUUAUUUGCGCCGUUAGUUUUGCGUUUUAUCAGAUUUUAUCAUUUUGCAUUGGAAAAAAUAAGAUCUGUUUGUGGAAACUAGUUCCGUACUUUUAAGUGAGAUAGAGAAUGUUGAAAACAUUUCCUUGUUUAAUUUGCUGUCAUAAAAAGUUGUUCGAAAUAAAAGGUAUUUUUUAUAAUAACAA